rnacentral:rRNA from 1 species
ACUGAGACACGGUCCAGACUCCUACGGGAGGCAGCAGUGAGGAAUAUUUGCGCAAUGGGGGAAACCCUGACGCAGCCUAUGCCGUGUGAGUGAGGAAGGCCCUAGGGUUGUAAAGCUCUUUCAGAUGCGAAGAUUAUGACGGUCACCUCAGAAGAAGCCCCCGGGUAAAUUCGUGCCAGCAGGCGCGGUAAUAAGAAUGGGGCGAGCGUUGUGCGGAAUCACUGGGCGUAAAGCGUAUGUAGGCGGACUUGAAUGUCAGAAGUGAAAUCGCGGGGCUCAACCCCGGAAUUGCUUUUGAACUCCAAAGUCUCGAGUCCCGGAGGGGGCCAGUAGAAUUCCAUAGUGUAGAGGUGAAAAUGCGGAGAUAUUAGGAGGAAUACCAUUGGGCGUAGGCCACUGGCUGGACGGGUACUGACGCUGAGAUACGAAAGCGUGGGGAGCAAACAGGAUUAGAUACCCUGGUAGUCCACGCCGUAAACGAUGUGUGCUAGUUGUCGGGUCUUAAAGAUUCGGUGACGCAGCUAACGCACUAAGCACACCGCCUGGGGAGUACGGUCGCAAGAUUAAAACUCAAAGGAAUUGACGGGGACCCGCACAAGCGGUGGAGCAUGUUGUUUAAUUCGAAGCAACGCGAAGAACCUUACCCACACUUGACAUCCUGGUCGGGACUUUCAGAGAUGAUUGUUUUCGGUUCGGCCGGACCAGUGACAGGUGCUGCACGGCUGUCGUCAGCUCGUGUCGUGAGAUGUUUGGUUAAGUCCAGCAACGAGCGCAACCCCUAUCGUAUGUUGCCAGCAUUUAGUUGGGCACUCAUGCGAGACUGCCGGUGUUAAGCCGGAGGAAGGUGGGGACGACGUCAAGUCAUCAUGGCCCUUACGUGUGGGGCUACAAACGUGCUACAAUGGGAGUGACAGUGGGCAGCGAUGUCGCGAGGCAAAGCUAAUCCCUAAAAGCUCUCUCAGUUCGGAUAGGACUCUGCAACUCGAGUCCUUGAAGUCGGAAUCGCUAGUAAUCGUGGAUCAGCACGCCACGGUGAAUACGUUCCCGGGUCUUGUACACACCGCCCGUCACACCAUGGGAGUUGUUU